rnacentral:lncRNA from 1 species
CAGACGAAGGAACCAGUACAAUGGACAAAAUCGUGAGGAGUUUUUCUUCUUGGCUGCAUUUUUUAUUCUUUCUUUCUGCCCAAGGCUGGCAUAGUACAGGGGACGGCUCACCAACCCAAGAAUCUCAUCUCUCGACUCUUCAGUCUUCUCCCCUCUCAAUUUCCUUCCACCACAACCACAAAACAACUCCUCCUCUCUCGGCUCCCCCUCUCAAUUUUCUUCCACCAUCACACACUCACACAAAAGCACCCUCUUAGUCCCUUUCUUUUUUAAGAUAGACAAACACCCACAUCACUCCAUUCCCCUUUUCUCUCUAGGCGGAAGGUAGAAACUAGGGGAAAGGGAAGAAACAAGAAAAGUGUCUUAGAAGAGAAAAGAAGAAAAAUCAAAGAAGAAGCCGGCUCACCGUAAGCAACAUCAAAGCUUCAUUCACCGUUAUCAACAUCAAAGCUUCAUUGGCAAAGAGUACUGUGAGUUUCCUCUAUCUUUCUACUCCUAGUUUCUGCUUCUGUAACCUUUUGUUCUUUCGUUUUCUUUUCCUUCAUUUUAUUUGUUUCCUUAUUUCUGUAACCUUUGGUUUUUAUUUGUUUUCCUUCAUUUUUCUUAUUUCGUUUCAUUUAUUUUUCUUAUUUUGUUUUUAUUGUCCUGUUGCUCAAAUGGUUGUUGUUGGGUUGCUGAAUUUUUGGGAUAGGUCAUGAACAAAAUUAGGAAAAGAAGAAUGGGGUUUUGGAAUGCAUGCUGCAUGUUUGAUAAAAUGCUUAAAUGAAAAAAAUUGAAUUAAAGUGUUAAAUUUUGUAUAUAUAUUUUUGUUAAAAUAGAUGGUUAUGGUUAGUUCAUGGCCUGGAGACAUUUUUUUUCUCAAACUCUCGAUUUUUUUUGAGCCUUGAAGGCAACGAAAUAUUUUUUUUUAUUCAGGGCUGUUUUGCUUUAAUUUAUAAUAUUGUUGUUUUUUUUUUUUGAUUUAAGGUCAUAGUUGUAUUGUAGAAAUCACAUGAAGUGUUUUGAUAUAAAUUUUAUGAUUUUUGGCGGAGGUUUGAGUGAUUUUAAAAAUAAAACCUAGUUCUAAAUUGCUUUUUUGAGUACUUUUUAUUUAUUUAUUUUUUUGUAAAAACUAAGGUUGGAAAUGGAUUUUAUGUGAAAAAUUGAGUAGAAAGGUGUAGUUUGGUGAAUUUUUAGGACUAGAGAGGUCGUCGACUGGAUUGUUUCAUUAUCUCUGGUUGGGCUUCUGUGUUGUUUUUAUCGGGCUUUUGCCUGGUUUGAAAUGGUUAAACCUAAUACAUUGGUUAGUUGGUUACUCAAGCUUUUAGUUGGACUCUUUUCUGUUUUUAAACAAGAUGAUCUUCAAUUUUCUCUUGGGCUGAAGUUGUAUGGCCCAAAUAUCAAGUGGCCCAUUUUCGUUUCUUCAUAUUUUGCACAAAGUAGAAAUUGAAUUUUGCAAUUUAGCUCCUAAUCUUUUGAGUAAUUUUAUUAUGACUCAAACAUUUUGAAUUUCUUUCAUUCAGGCCCUUAAUUUAAUUGCAUUUUGCCCCAUAAACUUUAUCUUUAUUCAAAUUUGAAUCUUAAUUUUUUUGAGAAUUAUAAUUUGAGCCCUAAAACUUAAUUUUUUGCAAUUAAGUCCCUAUUAUUUUUUGAUUUCUCAAUUACAAUUUUUUUCUUCUUUAAUUGCUAACUGUGCUUCAUUUAAAUGCAUUUAAUUUGUAAAUUUUGGUUGCUUUAUAUUUAUUUCCAUUUUUCACAAUAAUAAAGGGAGUUUAGUAUAUGUUUACAUUCUCUUUUAAAAUUGUUAAUUAAAUUGGUGCAUUGACCCGUUUAUUGAUUUUGGAAAAAUAGAAAACUUUCCCUUCCCUUCAUUUAGCCGCUACUUCAAAAGGGAGGUAUACCUAUUACCCUUAAUUCUUUUAUGUACUCCUAUUUGCUUUUAUGUGUUUAUAUGUUUUCUGCAUUUUCUUUCAUUUAUUUACUUUAACCUUUUAUUCAUUUUAUACAUGUUUAAUUUAAGUCUUGUGAUUAUUUGGAGGGUCUUUGAAUACCCAAAUUGUAAUAGAUAGGUAAUAUCCUCCUGUGCAAGAAAUGUAAUUAGAUAACCAAUGCAAUUAAUUGGUUUUAUUUUUUUUGCAAGAAAUGUAAUUAGCUAGAUAAAUGUAAUAGAUAGGUUAGAUAGGAUUAUUGUCUUAUGUUUCCCCUUUUAGAUUGUAGUUAGAACUUUCAAUAUAAUAGUUAGGUCUUAUUGCUUGCGUAUUGGCGUGUUUAUGUGCUUAUAUGUUUACUUGCUUUUUCUAGAAUUUUACAACUAAAUAUUAUGCCUAUGUGCUAUGUGAUUUAUGGUUUUAUUUGCUUUAA